AAUCCUAUGUGAAAAUAUCAUUUUCACUAUCUUUUCAAGGGUUGUUUACUUGCCCAAGUUGACCAAGAAAAGAAUUAUUAUAGUUCUUACAAUUUGAAUCAGAAACAGGGCAUCUCUUUAGAGUUAAUUCCUUCCCCCUUACCAGCUAGCUGGUUAAUAUACUUGGAGGAGAAGUAACAACUCAUAGCCAUUUUUUAAAAUUAACAAUAAAAUUUCAUGAUAAUUUAAAGUUAAAAUUGGCUGUAAGGUUUGUCUAAUUGAAAUUAGAACGUAAUUGCGUUCCAAUACAUAUGCCUCUUGCCUUUUUCUGCAACCAAGAUUUUCAGUACACUUCCCACAUUAAAUACAUUAUUGAUUAAAAUCAAACCAUGUCCAAGACAUACUUCAGUGUUGACAGUUCAUUUUCAAGAUCACUCAAUUUCAGUAGCCAAUGUAAAUAAUCUUUAUUAACCUUAGACAACCUUUUAAAAUGUACUGCUAUCAGGCUCUGAGGAAAUUAAAUGCACAUUGACUUUUUAAGUAUGGGUUGAACUCCUCAGUUUAAUACAAUUUGUGUUUUUGUUAACUAGCAGCAGAAUUUCAGCAUUUGCUACUUACUGGUAGAGAAGAAAAACCCCACAGCCCUGCCAGUACAGCUGGGAGGUGACAGUGAUUGAAAAGUGCAGUCCGAAUUGUCAAAGCUUGGACCAGAACCUUAAGGUGAUGGUUACUACCUGAUUCUCUAUGUUCCCUGUUUAGAUUCUCUUUUUUCCCCCUCAUUUCCCUAAAGGAUUGUGUGCAUAAAAACAUUGAACGCAGAUCAUUUGCUUUGGUGAGGGGAAAAAUUGUUUUGUUUUGGUUUUUUUUUUUUUUUUUAAUGUUUAAGAAAAUGUAGGGACAGGAGGCAUGGCUCACUAGUUAAGACCAUGUCAUACCCCAGGUGGUGGCAUCCACUCUGCAGGCAGAGACCAGUCAUCGCUGAGUUUCAGGACAACCAGGGCUGUAUAGAGGAGUCUCCCCCAAAGUGAAGGAAUGUGUCCUGCGUUUGUUGGAAUCAGUUGAGGUUCCCAGUGUGUGUCCUGGCUCACAACCACCGCUCCUUCAGGAUCUGACACCUUGAACUUUUGUGCUCAUAUACUUAAAACACAGCAUACAAUUAAGAAUACAUAUGUUUUAAAGAUCAAAGAUUACCUUUUUUGCCCCAGUGCUCAUUUCUCACUGCUAGGUUAAGGAAAUAAUAGAUUUAGUACUCUCUUUCUCGAGUACUUGAACUGUAUAAAUCAUUCCAACCCUGCAUGGAAAAACUUGCAUUACAAAUGCAAGAUUUUUUAGCAUUUGUUUACCUGGGAAGAUUAACUUACAAAAAUAUUUUACUGUCUUGUUUAGUGACGAGUUUGUAACAUAAGGAUUUUCCCUGUAGUUUUUAAGCUAGAUUUUUAGAUAAUGCAGGCAUAUUUGUAUAUACAUUGUAUUUCUUCUAUGAUUUUUGUGAAUAAAUCUACCUUUUUCCUCCUUAGUAUGACAAUAUUUGUUUUCUAAAAUCUGAAUGUGUAAUCUGAGAGUGUGUGGUAAUGAAUUCUAGGUGAGCUCUCAACAAAGUUUUGAGCCUAAAUUUGUGUCUUUAGAUUAUAGUGAAAUAAAUUUCUAAGGAACUCUGUCCUUUCCUAGCAUGGAUAAACAGACAGUGACAGUUGGUAAGUAUGUAACUUUAAAUGCAUGUAGUAGUGGUAAAGUUGAGCUACCAAACUAUUCCAAGACAGUUAGAAGUGAGUCCUUCUAGGACUUUAUAUGUAUAUCUGACAUUUUACUCCAAAUCUAUUACUCAUGAUUAAACUGAAAUGCAACCUUACCUUGUCUGAUUUGUUUUUUGUUGUUCAUUUUGUUUUUAGAAGAAUUUUGUAUGGUAGUUUAAAAAUCUAAUUUUAUAUUUAAAACCUUUCCUUGGUGUAUCAGUACGUGGCUCUUCUGACAACCAAAUAUUGAUCCGAAGAUUUACUUCAAACACUUUGGUUUCCAUUUAUAACUAAGCAAAAUAUAGUGGCAAAAGAGAGGACUACUCUAAUUUUAGUCUAUAAUAGGAAAUCAGUGCAGAAUUACGCUUUAUUUUUAUUUUAUGUGUCUGUGGUGCACCCACAUGCAGUUUUCUCCUGAGGCCAGAAGAUUGUCUGAUUGUUAGAGUGGAGUAGAGCUUCAGACACUGGUAACCCACCCCUGAGCAGUACCCAUUCAUCCUUGGCCAGUUCGGGGUCAGUGUUGGAAUUUGGUGGUGGGAAGAAGGCUUUCUUUAUUUUUUAUGAUUGCGGCCCCCCAAUUGUGAGAAUUAUUUCAGGGGGUAGAUCGGAGGACAACUUCUUUACAGUUUGUGUUCGUAUGUGGUUUCCUAGGGAGACAUCUCAACCACCCUCUGGUGUUCUGUUGGUAACAGAAGUAUGACAGGUUAAAAUGAAAAGCAUUUUAAUUUUAUUUCUGAGACAAAGUAUUUAUUUACAGCAUUGUUUUCUGAAAAGUUUAAAGAAGGUGGGUAUGCAUGUCUUUAAUUUAGUCUCCAGGUUUACCUCCUAACAAGUGUCAGUUGGAUUUGGAGGAAAUGAAGAGCCAAUCUGUGGGGAUGUGAUUGUAUGGAGGGUCUGAGUAUAGCAGCAGGAGGAAGAAUAAACUUGCAGCCUGUGUGCUAUUAAAUGGUUACAGGAGCAGAGAUCGUGACGAAUGUUACUCUAUAACUAAUGUCUGCUAAAGAUAUUAUAUGCUAGCCUUUAAUUCAUUAACAUUGGAACCUUGUGAUACAUGAAUUUUGGUCGAGUUUAUUUAAAAAUAAAAAAUUUCCCACACAAAUAAUAGUGUAUGUGAUAACUUUUGAUGUGUCUGUCUCCU
rnacentral:lncRNA from 1 species